AUUAAUGUUGUUGCAGUUAAAAAGCUCGUAGUUGGAUUUUGAGGAUGUUACAUGUUUGGUCCAGCUCGAAAGCUGAGUACCGGCGUGUGCUCCUUGUAUGUGGCAACAGCGUACAGUCGCCCUUAAUUGUGGCGGUUGUCUGAGGUCCUUUCGGGGGCUUUGGGGCUGGGAGGCCUUUGAGUGCUUUGCGGGAAACCGUGGAGUGGUCGGGGUGUUCCAGUAACGUUUUGCCUAUUUUACCUUGAAAAAAUUAGAGUGUUCAAAGCAGGGCUCGGGCCCAAUGAAUAUUGCAGCAUGGGAUAAUGGAAAAAGAUGUUGGUCUUAUUUUGUUGGUUUUAUAAGACGAAUGUAAUGAUUAAAGGGGACAGUUGGAGGUGCUUGUAUUGUGGCGCUAGAGGUGAAAUUCUUUGAUUGCCACAAGACAAACUACUGCGAAAGCAUUCACCUAGGAUGUUUUCAUCAAUCAAGAACGAAAGUUGGGGGAUCGAAGACGAUCAGAUACCGUCGUAGUCUCAACCAUAAACUAUGCCGACCAAGGAUUGAGGAACGUUAAAUUACAUGUCUUCCCCAGCACUUUAUGAGAAAUCACAAGUUUUUGGGUUCCGGUGGGAGUAUGGUCGCAAGGCUGAAACUUAAAGGAAUUGACGGAAGGGCACCACCAGGCGUGGAGCCUGCGGCUUAAUUUGACCCAACACGGGGAAACUUACCAGGUCCAGACAGCGUUAGGAUUGACAGAUUGAAAGCUCUUUCAUGAUUCGUUGGGUGGUGGUGCAUGGCCGUUCUUAGUUGGUGGUGUGAAUUGUCUGGUUGAUUCCGUUAACGAACGAGACCUUGACUUCUAAAUAGACACUGGAAGAUCCUGCGCUAAGGCCGCUGGGGCCUACCGGCGGAAGGGUCCGUCCCCCGCUGGUAGUUUGUUCCCGGUGGUUGCAUGUCUUCCAGGAUGAUCUUCUUAGAGGGACUAUUUGUGACAAGCAAAUGGAGGUUCGAGGCAAAAACAGGUCUGUGAUGCCCUUCGAUGUUCUGGGCUGCACGCGCGCUACACUGACAGAGUCAACGAGUUUACAACCUUCUCUGAAAAGAGUGGGUAAUCUUUUGAAACUCUGUCGUGAUGGGGAUAGAUGAUUGCAAUUAUUCGUCUUGAACGAGGAAUGCCUAGUAGGGGCGGUUCAUCAGACCGCUCCGACUACGUCCCUGCCCUUUGUACACACCGCCCGUCGCUCCUACCGAUCGAAUGUCGAGGUGAAUUCUUCGGACAGAGAGCAUUUG
rnacentral:rRNA from 1 species